GGUGAACGCUGGCGGUAGGCCUAACACAUGCAAGUCGAACGGCAGCACAGUAAGAGCUUGCUCUUACGGGUGGCGAGUGGCGGACGGGUGAGGAAUACAUCGGAAUCUACUUUUUCGUGGGGGAUAACGUAGGGAAACUUACGCUAAUACCGCAUACGACCUACGGGUGAAAGCAGGGGAUCUUCGGACCUUGCGCGAUUGAAUGAGCCGAUGUCGGAUUAGCUAGUUGGCGGGGUAAAGGCCCACCAAGGCGACGAUCCGUAGCUGGUCUGAGAGGAUGAUCAGCCACACUGCAACUGAGACACGGUCCAGACUCCUACGGGAGGCAGCAGUGGGGAAUAUUGGACAAUGGGCGCAAGCCUGAUCCAGCCAUACCGCGUGGGUGAAGAAGGCCUUCGGGUUGUAAAGCCCUUUUGUUGGGAAAGAAAAGCAGCAGGUUAAUACCCCGCUGUUCUGACGGUACCCAAAGAAUAAGCACCGGCUAACUUCGUG
rnacentral:rRNA from 1 species